rnacentral:rRNA from 1 species
CUUCGGACGUCGACCGGCGCACGGGUGAGUAACGCGUAUCCAACCUUCCCGUUACUGCGGGAUAACCUGCCGAAAGGCAGACUAAUACCGCAUGUUCUUCGAUGACGGCAUCAGAUUCGAAGCAAAGAUCCGUCGGUAACGGAGGGGGAUGCGUCUGAUUAGCUAGUUGGCGGGGCGACGGCCCCCCAAGGCGACGAUCAGUAGGGGUUCUGAGAGGAAGGUCCCCCACAUUGGAACUGAGACACGGUCCAAACUCCUACGGGAGGCAGCAGCC